rnacentral:rRNA from 1 species
GUUACACAUGCAAGUCCAGCGGUAACAGAUCUAGCUUGCUAGAUGCUCACGAGCGGCGGACGGGUGAGUAAUGCAUAGGAAACUGCCCAGUAGUGGGGGAUAGCCCGGGGAAACCCGGAUUAAUACCGCGUACGCCCUUCGGGGGAAAGCAGGGGAUCUUCGGACCUUGCGCUAUUGGAUGUGCCUAUGUCGGAUUAGCUAGUUGGUAGGGUAAAGGCCUACCAAGGCGACGAUCCGUAGCUGGUCUGAGAGGAUGAUCAGCCACAUCGGGACUGAGACACGGCCCGAACUCCUACGGGAGGCAGCAGUGGGGAAUAUUGGACAAUGGGGGCAACCCUGAUCCAGCCAUGCCGCGUGUGUGAAGAAGGCUUUCGGGUUGUAAAGCACUUUCAGUGAGGAGGAAAACUCUGCGACUAAUACUCGUAGGGCUUGACGUUACUCACAGAAGAAGCACCGGCUAACUCCGUGCCAGCAGCCGCGGUAAUACGGAGGGUGCAAGCGUUAAUCGGAAUUACUGGGCGUAAAGCGCGCGUAGGUGGUUUGAUAAGCGAGAUG